rnacentral:lncRNA from 1 species
AAAUGCAACAAUCUUAUUGGGGGGAUGGAAAAAUGACAGAUGUCACAGGGUCUCUGGCAGGAAGCAGUGCAGAGGGGCGCUUUUUUCAGGGUGAAUGGGAAGUUGCGUAUAGGGGUUUUACCAACCCCUGACUUUUCUUCCCUGUCUUGCAGGUUCCCGCUACCAGCCUCGAGGCUGUCUUUGCUGGUCUGCAUCCUGCUGGAGUGUUCCAUUGUGCUUUCUUGCAAUACAGAGAUCUCACCAAGUGUUACCUAGAAGAAGAUGGGUUUGGGGAAUACUUGUGUUUUACCAGGUGUGGCAAGCACACUUCCUGCUGGCACCCACUUACCUUAAAAGUCCCGGGUCCCACUCUCCCCUGACUCCCAAGGCAGGCACCUGCCAGACCACAGUACAAGUCCCCCAACUUUCCUCUUACUUUUCAGCCAUUUGUACUUGUGGCUUCUUCCGCCUGGGGUGCCCUCCACAGACCCCACUUCCUUCAUCCAUCCUCCAGGUGACUUCAUACUUCAGGUCAAGUCCAACCCCCCCUGCUUGGCAAGACCUUCCCUGAGUAUCAGGCGGUCCCUCCUCUGUGGCUUGGCUAGAUCUUGUUUUCCCCGCAUCAUGGCAAUUGUCACCUUGAGUUGUCUGCAUCUGUCUGACUCCCCCAUCAGACUCUGCAGUCCCAGAGGCAGGCACUGAGUCUUAGGUAACCCCGUAGCCCUCAGGCCAAGCACAGUGCCUGGCACACAGGAGAGGGUCAAUGUUGGUAGAGGGAGUUCCCAUUGUGGCUAAGUGGAUUAAAAGCUCAAUUAGUAUCCACAAGGAUGUGGGUUUGAUCCCUGGCCUUGCUCGGUGGGUUCAGGAUCCUGCAUUGCCUCAAGCUGUGGCAUAUGCCACAGAUGUGGCUCGGAUCUGGCAUUGUUGUGGCUGUGGCAUAGGCCCAGCAGCUGCAGCUCCAACUAGACCCUUAGCCUGGGAAUCUCAGGUAUGCCACAGGUGUGGCCCUAAAAAAAAAUGUUAGAUUUUGUGCAAUAUCCUCCUCGACAUCUCUGUCCUCCAGGGCCUCGCCCACCCUGGGUCCGUCACCCACCCUGCCUGCUACACCGAGAACCUGAUAAAUGUCCACUGAAGGAAUGAGACUGCAUCUUUGGUUUUUUGGCCGCCUUGGCGGUACUCGAAAAUGCCUGGGCCAGGGAUCAAACCCAAGUCUAAGCAAUGACAAAGCUGGAUCCUUAACUCACUCAACCAAUGAGCUUGUAUCUUUAAAGACCCAAAUAAGAAGUUAUCAUUCAGAGGCAUGGUUGGCAUUUCUUGGAGACAGAUUGGUGUGAAGUCCAAAGUUCAGAGAAAAGAGGACACGCACUGAUCAGUGAGGUGAAGCUGGGAGGUUAUGGCGCUCUGCAGACGCUGGCGAAAAGAUGGAAUGUUCCCUCCCAACGGGGGCGGGAAGCACCCCAACUCCGGGGCCAGCCUGGUCUCACAAGGCUGUGAGCUCCCUGAGGGCAGGGACCAUGUCAUAGUCCCUGCAAACCCAGCACAGGGACAGGCACCGCAGAGAUGCCAAGUGAAGUCAGCGGAAGUCAGUGGUGUCAAAAUUCCACCGCACCUGUCCCCAAUUGGGGCCUUCUCUGCCAAAGCCAGCAGGAUCCUUGU